UCCCUGGUGGUCCAGUGGUUAAGACUCCUUUCUUCCAAAGCAGGGGAUUCAGGUUUGAUCCCUGGUCGGGGAA
rnacentral:tRNA from 1 species